rnacentral:snoRNA from 12 species
UGCCUUCAGGUGUUGCCCUUUCAUUGCCCCCCUUGAUGAAAGAGGCGUCAGCAAAGGCAAACAUCAAGUCUUGGGGGUCGGCCUCUGACCGGUUCCUCAAUGGUGACCUGGUCAGAAGCUCCAUACCAAGAACAGAG